rnacentral:snRNA from 1 species
AUUACCACCGAGCGGCGGG